rnacentral:lncRNA from 1 species
GAGUUGCUUCGACGAAGUCACACACCCACGGAGGGAAGUAAUCUGGAGGCUGCCUUGAAGUCUGAAAGCAGGUUCUUUUUAUUAUAAUGUGCUCCGAAUGGAUGAAGCAAAUUUAGAGGAAGAGCAGUGAAUCAGUUUCUCAGUUUGGCAAAAAGCCUCACGGGCAUGUACAGGAAGCCUUCCUGCAGACAUCCACAGUGAACAAGUCUAAGGACAAUAGCUUUCGUUGGCCCCCAAUAGAAGGCAUUUUUAGUGAUGUGUGGCCUCACCACUUAAAUCCAGUUUAUUGAAUCUGAAGUGAUUUGCUCCUCUUUCUGGACUACACAAUAAACACCCUCCAACGUCCCCAGCCAUGCUCUUCCCAUCAUUUGGCUGAAAGGGGAGGAAUUCAAGGCCUUAGAGUGGGGAAGCUACAAUUUGGAAGAAUCCUGGAAGCACAGAUUACCCUGUGAAGCAGCAUCCCCAUGAGGGUCUCUUUCUUCUGUGAUAUAAGCAAGAAAUAAAUGAAUUGUGCAAAUCCA